rnacentral:rRNA from 1 species
UGGGGAAUAUUGCACAAUGGAGGGAACUCUGAUGCAGCGACGCCGCGUGAACGAAGAAGGCUUUCGAGUCGUAAAGUUCUUUUAUAUGGGAAGAUAAUGACGGUACCAUAAGAAAAAGCCCCGGCUAACUACGUGCCAGCAGCCGCGGUAAUACGUAGGGGGCUAGCGUUGUCCGGAAUCACUGGGCGUAAAGGGUUCGCAGGCGGAAAUGCAAGUCAGGUGUAAAAGGGAGUAGCUUAACUACUGUAAGCAUUUGAAACUGCAUAUCUUGAGAAGAGUAGAGGUAAGUGGAAUUUUUAGUGUAGCGGUGAAAUGCGUAGAUAUUAAAAAGAAUACCGGUGGCGAAGGCGACUUACUGGGCUCAUUCUGACGCUGAGGAACGAAAGCGUGGGUAGCAAACAGG